UUUCGCCAGGUUUGGCCGAACAUCGGCAAAAAGUUUGAGUUCGGUCUCGAGUUCGGCACAAGUUAGAAUGUGGGCAACUCAGCAGUCGUUGUGCAGGCACUUUGGUGCGCCUACCAUAGUGACCACGGGUAAAGGGGAAUCAGGGUUUGAUAUCGGAGAGGGAGCCUGAGAAACGGCUACCACAUCCAAGGAAGGCAGCAGGCACGCAAAUUAUCCACUCCCGAUGUGGGGAGGUAGUGAUGAAA